GCUCAUUGCACACCACCUCCUUUCCUGGGAGUGGAGAAGCCCCAGCCAGAACCCUUGCCUUCCCCAAGAGGCACGCUCAGAGGGACAUUCUGCCCUUCCUCACUGCCCCUAGAGCCAACAUCACACCUGGCUUUGGGGCCCUAGAACCUCAGCCCGCGCCCCUCCCCUUCCACCCCCAGCCAUCCCUGCUCUGUGCCCAGUGAUCUUGGGGUCACCACAACCCCAUGGCGCCUUGAGGCCUCACCUUUCCUGGCCUCUCAGCAUCCUGGGACACUGAUGGUCAUGCCUUCCUUCUAGAAAGUUCUCUCCGAGGCUGUGGCUUCCAGGAUGAGCACUCUCCUCCUCCCACUUCCUCCCCUUCUCCUUCCCCCUCCUCCCUUCUCCCUGGAGAGGUCUUUCUCCAAGCCCCAGUCUUCCUCCCCACCCGGUGCCCCUCCCGCUGACAUUUGUCUGCAGUGCCUGUCUCCGCUCCCGCUAGGAAGCCUCCCCUCCGGCAUCUCCAAUCCAUCUCUGGGUCCUGCUCCACCUGCAUUUCCCUAGACCUGUCCUGGCCACCCUCACCCUGGGACACCUCCUGCCCGUGGAGAGCUCCUCUGAUAGGUGCCGUCCUUGGUCUUGGGGGUCCUUUCUCCCUAAUUCUACUUCUGUUUUGGGGGCGUGGGAACCCAGGGUCUUAACCCCAGCCAUUCCCCCUCCCAGGGGCCACUUCCCUCUGAAGCUUAGCCCAGCUCUGUGACCCCCACAGGCCUGCCCCCACCUGGUCCUCACUCCCCUGCAUAGCCACACUGUGGGGGCUCCAUGCUUCCCAGCCCAUAGGAAGCCCUGUUCCCAGAGGGGGCCAUUCUGUUUUAGUUGGAGCAGUGGCCAGAGGCAAAGGUCAGAAGGCAAAGGUCAUAAAAGUUUGUCUCUACCUGCCAGCAUCUGCCCCUGCUACCGCAUCUUCUCCCCUCUCCACCCAAACCCUCCCUCAGCUCCUGCCUCCACCUCUCCAGAGGCACAGACAACAGGGUUCUGAUCUUGGGUCAUGGUGCUCCCCCUGCCAGCCUCAGUCCGAGACCUCUGUGAAUGGGGGUGAUGGCUAAUGGGAUGAGGGGACCACCUCCUGGUGGCUGCAGGGACUGGGGUGAGGGUGCUGUAGGCUCUGCCUAAGUCAAGUGCCAUGGGGCUGAAGAGACGGCGCACCGGCCCUGGAGAAGAGUCCUCCCUGCCCUCCUGUGUCUGGCCUUGUUUCCUGGAGGACAGGUCCCCACGGGGCAGAGACCCAGCAGUCCCAGGUAAGCGCUGGGUGGCCGGAGUCUGGUACCUGCAGGAAGAGAAGUAGAAGAAUAAAUUUGGAGUGUGUGAAGGGGGCAAAGCCUGAAAGGUUCGGACUCAGUGUGGGGAGGGAGAGGGAACAGAUGGGGUGGGGCACCUCCCCUGGGCUGGGUGACCCUUAUUUAUAUGACUGAAUCCAUGACAAGAUUGUUUGCUUGACCAAACUGUAGUCCGGCUUCAGAACCUUCUCGCAGGCUCAUCUGCAUUCUGCCUUAUAAAAUCCAGAUUUAGCAAGAACUCUGCUAAGUCAGUUUGGCAAGAAGCCUCCAUCCCCCCAUAUCUGAUCAGGGUCCUCAGCCUCCGCCACCCCCAGGCGAUGUCUGCUUACCUUGCCUGCCUUCAGCAAGCUUCCUUUUACCUGGGUAGGGUCCUCAGUUUCUGCCACCCCCAGGCAAUAUCUGCUCACCCUGGCUGCCUUCAGCAAGCUUCAUUUUACCUUGGUAGGUUCCUUAGCCUCUGCCACCUCCAGGCCAUGUCUGCUAACCCUGUCUGCCUUCAGCAAGCUUCGUUUUACCUGGGUAGGGUUCUUAGCCUCCGCCACCCCCAGGCGAUGUCUGCUAACCCUGCCUGCCCUCAGCAAGCUUCCUGUUUCCUGGGUUUAGCCAGAAUCCUCCAGACAGGUGUUUCGUGCCAUCCUGAACAAAAUAUGUGUUUCAACUGCUAUCCAGUUCUGGUUUCCCUUGACAUUG
rnacentral:lncRNA from 1 species